rnacentral:rRNA from 1 species
AGUCGAACGGCAGCACGGGCUUCGGCCUGGUGGCGAGUGGCGAACGGGUGAGUAAUACAUCGGAACGUGCCCUGUAGUGGGGGAUAACUAGUCGAAAGAUUAGCUAAUACCGCAUACGACCUGAGGGUGAAAGCGGGGGACCGCAAGGCCUCGCGCUACAGGAGCGGCCGAUGUCUGAUUAGCUAGUUGGUGGGGUAAGAGCCUACCAAGGCGACGAUCAGUAGCUGGUCUGAGAGGACGAUCAGCCACACUGGGACUGAGACACGGCCCAGACUCCUACGGGAGGCAGCAGUGGGGAAUUUUGGACAAUGGGGGCAACCCUGAUCCAGCAAUGCCGCGUGUGUGAAGAAGGCCUUCGGGUUGUAAAGCACUUUUGUCCGGAAAGAAAUGGCCUGGGUGAAUACCCCGGGUCGAUGACGGUACCGGAAGAAUAAGCACCGGCUAACUACGUGCCAGCAGCCGCGGUAAUACGUAGGGUGCGAGCGUUAAUCGGAAUUACUGGGCGUAAAGCGUGCGCAGGCGGUUUUGUAAGACAGGCGUGAAAUCCCCGAGCUUAACUUGGGAAUGGCGCUUGUGACUGCAAGGCUAGAGUAUGUCAGAGGGGGGUAGAAUUCCACGUGUAGCAGUGAAAUGCGUAGAGAUGUGGAGGAAUACCGAUGGCGAAGGCAGCCCCCUGGGACGUCACUGACGCUCAUGCACGAAAGCGUGGGGAGCAAACAGGAUUAGAUACCCUGGUAGUCCACGCCCUAAACGAUGUCAACUAGUUGUUGGGGAUUCAUUUCUUCAGUAACGUAGCUAACGCGUGAAGUUGACCGCCUGGGGAGUACGGUCGCAAGAUUAAAACUCAAAGGAAUUGACGGGGACCCGCACAAGCGGUGGAUGAUGUGGAUUAAUUC